UACGUAGGGGGCUAGCGUUGUCCGGAUUUAUUGGGCGUAAAGAGCGUGUAGGCGGCCUGGUAGGUCUGCUGUGAAAACUCGAGGCUCAACCUCGAGAUGUCGGCGGAAACCAUCUGGCUAGAGUCCGGAAGAGGAGAGUGGAAUUCUCGGUGUAGCGGUGAAAUGCGUAGAUAUCGAGAGGAACACCUGCGGCGAAGGCGGGUAGCUGGGCCGACACUGACGCUGAGGCGCGAAAGCCAGGGGAGCGAACGGG
rnacentral:rRNA from 1 species